rnacentral:tRNA from 1 species
GUGACUAUCGUUCAACGGUUAGGACUGCGGUUUGUGGUACCGCUAAUCUGGGUUCGAUUCCCAGUAGUCACC